rnacentral:rRNA from 1 species
AGGAUGAAUGCUGGCGGCGCGCCUAACGACAUGCAAGUCGAGCGGUAAGGCCCUUAGGGGUACACGAGCGGCGGACGGCUGAGUAACGCGUGGGAACAUGCCCCAAAGUGAGGAAUAACUGCCCGAAAGGGUAGCUAAUGCCGCAUAUGAUCUUAGGAUUAAAGGAUUUAUCCGCUUUGGGAGUGGCCUGCGUACGAUUAGAUAGUUGGUGAGGUAAAGGCUCACCAAGUCUACGAUCGUUAACUGUUCUGAGAGGAUGAUCAGUCAGACUGGAACUGAGACACGGUCCAGACUCCUACGGGAGGCAGCAGUGAGGAAUCUUCCACAAUGGGCGAAA